GGUCUGCUGGUGUAAUGGUAUGAGUGUUGGACUACAACUCUGGAGGCCAGGGUUCGAAUCCCCACUUAGCCA